UUGUUCGUUAUUGCUGGGCUGUUAAAGCGAUUUAAUUUUGCUUUUGAAUCGUUAUGAUGCUGGCCUGGAAGCAAAAUUAAAACAUAAAAUGUGCUAGCACCCACUCCACCCACGAAGAUUAUGAAGUUCAAUAAUUGGAAAUGGAUUUAAACUAGUUGUAUGGUGAAAAUGCAGCAAAAGUGCAACGGAAUGCAACGGAACUUCACAGGGAGCCGGGAGACAGAGAUACAAGAAAGAGACAGAAAGUAACUAGGACAGC